rnacentral:lncRNA from 1 species
GAGGACGAUGGUGGCCCAAAGUAACAAUUUGGGCCCACAAAUGAAGUAGACAACACAAAUCUGCACGCAUCUUGAAACAAUCCCAGCCCAUAAUAGAAAACUGGGUGAAAACGCAUAUGUCGUCUCUAUUUGGAAAAAGUCCUUUUCACCUCCCUAGAGUAUGAGCUGAGUUUGUGGUUUCACCCUUGAUUCAAAAACCGUCCGAUUUGACAACUCGAUCUUUGAAAACUGGAUAGGUAACCUCCCAGACCCAGUUCAACCUUGGUUUUGUCCAAUGUGGCACCACGUCACCCAUCCACGGUGGCAACCCUUUCAUGGACCCACAUGUAAGCUUCUGUCAUCUUCCCCUACCCUCCUCUCUCUGCCUUCUUGUCGCCUCAUCGGAGUUCCCUUAAAUUCCAC